UAAAAUUAACUUAGUACACCAUACUAUAAAUAUAUAUAUUGAAUUACUGAUUUAUCCUAAUAUAAAAUGACCAAAAAGGAUAUAUGGAAUUGUGAAACAAAUAUAAUUUUAAUAAGUACACCCUUCUAACCAUAUUCAACCUUAAUCAAGAGAUUACUUAGUGCCUAUCUUUGUGAUCCGUGAGUCAGAAUGGCUUGGAGCAGAUGAAGCCUUCCUUCUUUCUUCUCAAAACUAUUUCCCUG
rnacentral:lncRNA from 1 species